rnacentral:lncRNA from 1 species
GGGGCUGACCGCGGAGCCGGCCUCUCCAGCCACCUGGCGGCCCGGCAGCGUCAGCCAGGUGCGCGCCCGGCCCCACAUCCUCUGGGUCACGCCCCCGAGGCCGCAAGGCGUCUGAGAAGCAGCCCCGGCUCUGACCCGCCAGCCCUCGGAAGAAGCAGACCCUGGCCGGUCCAUGGCAGUGGCCCGAGGGGCACCAGCGCGGAGCACCAGCGACCCCCAAGGAACGACGUUGCAGAUGAUGCUCUACCAAGAGUUGGAAGGACUCCCCAGGGAAUCCCACAAGACACUGCGCUUCCUAUGCCUCCUUUCCCUCGUUUAAAAAAUGGGGAUAAGAAGGUUGGCUACUGCUCCGACAGCCCUCACAAUGGAAGAGUAGCACUUCAUUUGUGGGUUAACAAAGGGCAACGCUGAAAUCUCCACUUCCACUAUUGAAUGGAACUGUGUCAUAAUAUCUGUUAGAGGCGUGCAAACUCGGCCACAA